GAUGAACGCUGGCGGCGUGCCUAAUACAUGCAAGUCGAACGAAGAUCUAGCUUGCUAGAUCUUAGUGGCGAACGGGUGAGUAAUACAUAAAUAAUCUGCCCAUAUGACUGGGAUAACUAUUGGAAACGAUAGCUAAUACCGGAUAGGUUGAUCGGAGGCAUCUCUGAUGAAUUAAAGUAGGAUUUCUACACAAAUGGAUGAGUUUAUGGCGCAUUAGUUAGUUGGUGGGGUAACGGCCUACCAAGACGAUGAUGCGUAGCCGACCUGAGAGGGUGACCGGCCACACUGGGACUGAGACACGGCCCAGACUCCUACGGGAGGCAGCAGUAGGGAAUUUUCGGCAAUGGGCGCAAGCCUGACCGAGCAACGCCGCGUGAGUGAUUAAGGCCUUCGGGUUGUAAAGCUCUGUUGUAAGGGAAGAACAUUCAGGAUAGGAAAUGAUCUUGAACUGACGGUACCUUACCAGAAAGCCACGGCUAACUACGUGCCAGCCGCCGCGGUAAAAC
rnacentral:rRNA from 1 species